CCCUUAGAUGUUCUGGGCCGCACGCGCGCUACACUGUUCGACGCAGCGAGUCUUAACCUUGACCGAAAGGUUUGGGUAAUCUUCAGCAAAGUCGAACGUGAUGGGGAUCGAUCAUUGCAAUUAUUGAUCGUGAACGAGGAAUUCCUAGUAAGUGCAAGUCAUCAGCUUGCGCUGAUUACGUCCCUGCCCUUUGUACACACCGCCCGUCGCUACUACCGAUUGAAUGGUUUAGUGAGAUCUCUGGAUUGACGCUGGCUAGGGUGCGACCCUUGGCCAGACUGUUGAGAAACUGCUCAAACUUGAUCAUUUAGAGGAAGUAAAAGUCGUAACA
rnacentral:rRNA from 1 species